rnacentral:rRNA from 1 species
UGCCAGCAGCCGCGGUAAUUCCAGCUCCAAUAGCGUAUAUUAAAGUUGUUGCAGUUAAAAAGCGCGUAGUUGGAUCUGGGGUUCGGGUCGGCGGUUUGCCGCUUCGGCGGCUACUGCCGUGCUCGACUCUUACUAGCCGGUGCGUCUUGCGGUGCUCUUCAUCGAGUGCCGUAGGAGCCUGGCAUGUUUACUUUGAAAAAAUUAGAGUGCUCAAAGCAGGCGAUUCCGCCUGAAUAGUGUUGCAUGGAAUAAUGGAAUAGGACCUCGGUUCUAUUUUGUUGGUUUUCGGAACUUGAGGUAAUGAUUAAGAGGGACGGUCGGGGGCAUUCGUAUUUCGGUGUUAGAGGUGAAAUUCUUGGAUCGCUGAAAGACGGACAAAUGCGAAAGCAUCUGCCAAGAACGUCUCCAUUAAUCAAGAACGAAAGUCAGAGGUUCGAAGACGAUCAGACACCGUCCUAGUUCUGACCAUAAACGAUGCCAACUAGCGAUCCGCAGUGGUUGCUAUAAACGGACUCUGCGAGCAGCUUCCGGGAAACCAAAGUGUUUGGGUUCCGGGGGAAGUAUGGUUGCAAAGCUGAAACUUAAAGGAAUUGACGGAAGGGCACCACCAGGAGUGGAGCCUGCGGCUUAAUUUGACUCAACACGGGGAAACUCACCCGGUCCGGACACUGUAAGGAUUGACAGAUCGAGAGCUCUUUCUUGAUUCGGUGGAUGGUGGUGCAUGGCCGUUCUUAGUUGGUGGAGUGAUUUGUCUGGUUAAUUCCGAUAACGAACGAGACUCUAGCCUGCUAACUAGUUGCGCCGUGUUCAUACGCGGCUGUAGACUUCUUAGAGGGACAGGUGGCGUUUAGCCACACGAAAUUGAGCAAUAACAGGUCUGUGAUGCCCUUAGAUGUCCGGGGCCGCACGCGCGCUACACUGAAGGAGUCAGCGUGUGCUAUCCGGGCUCGGAAGAGUUCGGUAACCCGUUGAAACUCCUUCGUGCUUGGGAUUGUGGCUUGUAAUUAUCGCGCAUGAACGAGGAAUUCCCAGUAAGUGCAAGUCAUCAGCUUGCGCUGACUACGUCCCUGCCCUUUGUACACACCGCCCGUCGCUACUACCGAUUGAAUGGUUUAGCAAGGUACUCGGAUUGGUCUCGAUCUUGUACGAAAGUGCGGGAUCUGUGGCCGAGAAGAAGGCCAAACUUGAUCAUUUAGAGGAAGUAAA